rnacentral:rRNA from 1 species
UACGAAGGGGGCUAGCGUUGCUCGGAAUCACUGGGCGUAAAGCGCACGUAGGCGGCUUUCUAAGUCAGGGGUGAAAUCCCGGAGCUCAACUCCGGAACUGCCUUUGAUACUGGAAAGCUUGAGUUCGGGAGAGGUGAGUGGAACUGCGAGUGUAGAGGUGAAAUUCGUAGAUAUUCGCAAGAACACCAGUGGCGAAGGCGGCUCACUGGCCCGAUACUGACGCUGAGGUGCGAAAGCGUGGGGAGCAGACAGG